GCUUCUUUGCUGACGAGUGGCGGACGGGUGAGUAAUGUCUGGGAAACUGCCUGAUGGAGGGGGAUAACUACUGGAAACGGUAGCUAAUACCGCAUAACGUCGCAAGACCAAAGAGGGGGACCUUCGGGCCUCUUGCCAUCGGAUGUGCCCAGAUGGGAUUAGCUAGUAGGUGGGGUAACGGCUCACCUAGGCGACGAUCCCUAGCUGGUCUGAGAGGAUGACCAGCCACACUGGAACUGAGACACGGUCCAGACUCCUACGGGAGGCAGCAGUGGGGAAUAUUGCACAAUGGGCGCAAGCCUGAUGCAGCCAUGCCGCGUGUAUGAAGAAGGCCUUCGGGUUGUAAAGUACUUUCAGCGGGGAGGAAGGGAGUAAAGUUAAUACCUUUGCUCAUUGACGUUACCCGCAGAAGAAGCACCGGCUAACUCCGUGCCAGCAGCCGCGGUAAUACGGAGGGUGCAAGCGUAAUCGGAAUUACUGGGCGUAAAGCGCACGCAGGCGGUUUGUUAAGUCAGAUGUGAAAUCCCCCCGG
rnacentral:rRNA from 1 species